GAUGAACGCUGGCGGCGUGCCUAAUACAUGCAAGUCGAGCGAACAGAUGAGGAGCUUGCUCCUCUGACGUUAGCGGCGGACGGGUGAGUAACACGUGGAUAACCUACCUAUAAGACUGGGAUAACUUCGGGAAACCGGAGCUAAUACCGGAUAAUAUAUUGAACCGCAUGGUUGAAUAGUGAAAUACGGUUUUGCUGUCACUUAUAGAUGGAUCCGCGCCGCAUUAGCUAGUUGGUAAGGUAACGGCUUACCAAGGCAACGAUGCGUAGCCGACCUGAGAGGGUGAUCGGCCACACUGGAACUGAGACACGGUCAAGACUACUACGGGAGGCAGCAGUAGGGAAUCUUCCGCAAUGGGCGAAAGCCUGACGGAGCAGCGCCGCGUGAGUGAUGGAGGUCUUCGGAUCGUAAAACCCUGUUAUUAGGGAAGAACAAAUGUGUAAGUAACUAUGCACGUCUUGACGGUACCUAAUCAGAAAGCAACGGCUAACUACGUG
rnacentral:rRNA from 1 species